GUGGGGAAUCUUCCGCAAUGGACGAAAGUCUGACGGAGCAACGCCGCGUGAGUGAUGAAGGUCUUCGGAUUGUAAAGCUCUGUUAAUCGGGACGAAAGAGCCUAGUGUGAAUAAUGCUAGGAAGUGACGGUACCGGAAUAGAAAGCCACGGCUAACUACGUGCCAGCAGCCGCGGUAAUACGUAGGUGGCAAGCGUUGUCCGGAAUUAUUGGGCGUAAAGCGCGCGCAGGCGGAUCUGCCAGUCUGUCUUAAAAGUUCGGGGCUUAACCCCGUGAUGGGAUGGAAACUACAGAUCUAGAGUAUCGGAGAGGAAAGUGGAAUUCCUAGUGUAGCGGUGAAAUGCGUAGAUAUUAGGAAGAACACCAGUGGCGAAGGCGACUUUCUGGACGAAAACUGACGCUGAGGCGCGAAAGCCAGGGGAGCGAACGGGAUUAGAGACCCCUGUAGUCC
rnacentral:rRNA from 1 species